rnacentral:misc_RNA from 1 species
UCGCGCCCAUCCGGGCUGCGGUGUUGGGGCGGGCAGUUGGACGCAAGUCCGGCUGCCGCCCCCAAAUACAGUGGCGGCCUCGCUGCACUUGCUCUGCGUAGUAGCACACCUCGCAUUGCAAAGUAGCGCGCCCACGCCGUAAAACCCCCGACCCCCAUGAGUUUGACCUCGGAUCAGGUAGGAAUACCCGCUGAACUUAA